rnacentral:rRNA from 1 species
AUUGAACGCUGGCGGCAAGCCUAACACAUGCAAGUCGAACGAGCGGCGGACGGGUGAGUAAUGUAUGGGAAACUGCCUGAUGGCGGGGGAUAACUACUGGAAACGGUAGCUAAUACCGCAUACCAUCGGAUGUGCCCAGAUGGGAUUAGCGAGUAGGUGGGGUAAAGGCUCACCUAGGCGACGAUCCCUAGCUGGUCUGAGAGGAUGACCAGCCACACUGGAACUGGGACACGGUCCAGACUCCUACGGGAGGCAGCAGUGGGGAAUAUUGCACAAUGGGCGCAAGCCGGAUGAAGCCAUGCCGCGUGUAUGAAGAAGGCCUUCGGGUUUUAAAGUACUUUCAGCGGGGAGGCGUUACCCACAGAAGAAGCACCGGCUAACUCCGUGCCAGCCGCCGCGGUAAUUC